rnacentral:lncRNA from 1 species
AGCACAUGGAAGCCUUCUCUCAACAGCUACUCAGAGGGUUCUUUUAUGCCUUUACGAAAAAGAGGUUGAGUUUCAGUUUGUUCCUGUAAACAUGGGAGCUGGUGAACAUAAAUCAGAAAACUACCUUUCCCUCAAUGUAAGUACGGAAAACAGAUCUCUCCUUCUAUUUUAGCUUAACAAAUAUUUUACACUACUCUGGAUUAGUACCUGUUUCAUAAGUUGCUUGUUUGCUACUGGAACUUGCUCUGCAGAGAAACCCAGCUCACUUUAACCCUUCUUUCUCAUUGGGCGAUAGAUUUCCUCAACAGCUCAACUAUUUCUUAUCAGGCACUGAGAUCUUUUCUCAGAAACCAAUCUUUCCAUGGUUGCUAUUUGUGGAGGAAAAACAAAAUGCAAAAGCAGCAAUGAAAUAGAAAACCCCAAUUUUAGUCAGAAUUGCACGAACCCGAAUUGUUGAGGCUAAAAUUGAUUCCAAUAAUUACCGCUAGGAGAUUUUCUUUCAUUAAUUAAUCCAUUUUCCAUAAACCCGUUUCUGAGAAUACCGUGAAUCUAAUAUUUCUCAUCCUGUUGAUGCAGC